rnacentral:rRNA from 1 species
UACGUAGGUGGCAAGCGUUGUCCGGAUUUACUGGGCGUAAAGAGCGCGCAGGCGGUCGUUCAAGUCGCGUGUGAAAGCCCCCGGCUCAACUGGGGAGGGUCACGCGAUACUGAUCGACUCGAAGGCAGGAGAGGGAAGUGGAAUUCCCGGUGUAGUGGUGAAAUGCGUAGAUAUCGGGACGAACACCAGUGGCGAAGGCGACUUCCUGGCCUGUUCUUGACGCUGAGGCGCGAAAGCUAGGGGAGCAAACGGG